rnacentral:lncRNA from 1 species
AAGGGAAAAGAUCCCACUUGUACACAUAUAUCUAUAGCAGCUCCUUAAUUUCAAUGCUGUUGAGCAUCUGGUUCCUCAGGCCAGCCAGAACUUCACCACCUACAGCAACUCAGGUGUACUGGGUUUAUCUGAAUUUGAGAUGCAAAGGAUUGAGUUGCUACAGCUGUUACAUUCUUGGGAGGAAUCAUUCAAGUCGCCAUGUUUGUGCUGCAUCUGGGCAGUGCCACAUUCUUGCUAACAGAACCUGUGAUCAGUGCAAUGAAAACUGGAGCUGCCACCCAUGUUGUGACCUCACAAGUCAAGUUUCUCCUUGGAUUGAAAACGCCCUAUAUCUCAGGUCCAUUGGGAUUCUUUCAUUUGAGCAAGCUGAGACUCAGAGAGUUUAAGUGGCUUUGUCCAGGCACCUGGUUUUUAAAUAUCAGUCAGGAUUCAAAUUCAAGACUCUCAAACUACUAGAGAAAGCCUCACUUCCCACUCCUGAUGAGUUACAUAAUUGGUUUACAAAUAAACAUUUAUAUACUAAAAAAACA